rnacentral:tRNA from 1 species
UUCCUGGUGGUCCAUUGGCUAGGACUUUGCCCUCCCAACACAGGGGGCCCAGGUUCAAACCCUGGUCAAGGAA